UAACGUUUCACAAAAAACUAGUUAAAAUUAAAUUUAAAAAGUACUUAAACUAUUAAUAAUGUUUUGUUUGGCGUUUUGAUCCACAAGAUAUUAAGAAAUGUUAAUUAGUGAAAUUGAAAAACAUUAAUGCAUCUGGGACAAAACUCAGUUGUGUUACAGGGACAGAAAUCAAAAGAAACUGGAGAGGAGGCUCAUUGUCGCAAAAGGUUUAAAUCUUUGCGUGACCGCUACGCCAUAGAAUUAAAAUUGCAGCACCAGACCAGUGGAAAGGAAGUAGCACCUUUAGGAUGAACUGGUAUUUCGCGCUCUUAACCUUAAAAAAGUCGCACUGAGAAAGAAAGUAUAUACCCAAGACAACAACAAAUGUAAUAAGUGACGCGGAAAUUGAUUUGGAAUCAUCAUUUAACCUUGAUUUCAAUCAAAGCGGGGAAAUAAUUUUAGAAAAACAAAAUACAGUGCCAGUUCCUCCUAAGAAAAAUAAGCAAACGGAAAAGAAUUUAGAAUGCGUUCGUAGAGAAUGUGAGCGAGUUUUUGAAAAAAAAGCCUCAUGAUAAUAUCUUGGAAGCAAUAGGUUCUGCAAUAU